AACGAACGCUGGCGGCAUGCCUAACACAUGCGAGUCGAACGAGACCUUCGGGUCUAGUGGCGCACGGGUGCGUAACGCGUGGGAACUUGCCCUUAGGUUCGGAAUAACUCCCCGAAAGGGGUGCUAAUACCGGAUAAUGUCUUCGGACCAAAGAUUUAUCGCCUUUGGAUGGGCCCGCGUUGGAUUAGCUAGUUGGUAGGGUAAAAGCCUACCAAGGCGACGAUCCAUAGCUGGUCUGAGAGGAUGAUCAGCCACACUGGGACUGAGACACGGCCCAGACUCCUACGGGAGGCAGCAGUGGGGAAUAUUGGACAAUGGGCGAAAGCCUGAUCCAGCAAUGCCGCGUGAGUGAUGAAGGCCUUAGGGUUGUAAAGCUCUUUUACCCGGGAUGAUAAUGACAGUACCGGGAGAAUAAGCUCCGGCUAACUCCGUG
rnacentral:rRNA from 1 species